CUCUGUGACUGGCUUGCUUGAUAGUUAGGGUCUGAUUGCUGCCUGAGACACCAUAUCGGUACUCCUCAGAGUUGGUGGCUGCCAUGAGAUAGUCAUGUGUUCAGGAGUAACAUCCAGAAUAUUAAUAGGACCUGUUGGUGGCCCAGGAACAUCAAGAACAGUAAGAUGUACUGCUACUGUUUUGCUACCAGCUGCAUUGGAAACUGUGAUUUGAUAUUCCCCAGUGUCUCUCCUUAAGCAGUUCUUAAUGAGAAUAGACACCUUGAUGGCUCCUCUGGCAGUUCUUGAUGACCAUGGAUGAGCUAAUGGCUGUGGUCUCAAUGGUGGCUUCUUGAGAUGGUAUUGCCUCUGAAUUUGCUGAUUCAGAAGAUGUCAGACUCAUGUUAUCCUAUAGAAGAUGUAACAACCCAUAUACAUUUAUGAAAAUCAGGAACUACAUUAUUAUAAUGAUGAAAGAAAAGCCCAAGCAAUCAACCAACCUGAAACCUGCAAUGAAGCUGUGCAGCUGUCUUUGCCAACAGGGUUCUGCACCUCAAAACUGUAUACCCCACUGUCACUCGGUGCUACAUUGA
rnacentral:antisense_RNA from 1 species